rnacentral:rRNA from 1 species
GACGAACGCUGGCGGCGUGCUUAACACAUGCAAGUCGAACGGAAAGGCCCUGCUUUUGUGGGGUGCUCGAGUGGCGAACGGGUGAGUAACACGUGAGUAACCUGCCCUUGACUUUGGGAUAACUUCAGGAAACUGGGGCUAAUACCGGAUAGGAGCUCCUGCUGCAUGGUGGGGGUUGGAAAGUUUCGGCGGUUGGGGAUGGACUCGCGGCUUAUCAGCUUGUUGGUGGGGUAGUGGCUUACCAAGGCUUUGACGGGUAGCCGGCCUGAGAGGGUGACCGGCCACAUUGGGACUGAGAUACGGCCCAGACUCCUACGGGAGGCAGCAGUGGGGAGUAUUGCUCAAUGGGCGGAAGCCUGAUGCAGCAACGCCGCGUGCGGGAUGACGGCCUUCGGGUUGUAAACCGCUUUCGCCUGUGACGAAGCGUGAGUGACGGUAAUGGGUAAAGAAGCACCGGCUAACUACGUG